AUAUGAGCACCUAGGAGCCUGAGAUAUGGCCACCGGGCACACCUUCCACCCUUUGUUUAUCACACUUUGUUGCUUUGGCAGGCCUGCCUCCGGGCUGCUGGCUCCGGCCGGCGAGCGCUUGCCAGAGGACCCAAACUCUGUUUGUCUGUAACGUCUGAGUACUAUAUAAUAGUUAAAACUUUCAACAACGGAUCUCUUGGUUCUGGCAUCGAUGAAGAACGCAGCGAAAUGCGAUAAGUAAUGUGAAUUGCAGAAUUCAGUGAAUCAUCGAAUCUUUGAACGCACAUUGCGCCCCCUGGUAUUCCGGGGGGCAUGCCUGUCCGAGCGUCAUUACAACCCUCAAGCCUAGCUUGGUGUUGGGCUCCGCCGCCUGGCGGGCCCUAAAGUCAGUGGCGGUGCUGUCCAGCUCCGAGCGUAGUAACUCUUCUCGCUCUGGAGGACUGGGCAUGUGCCUGCCAGCAACCCCCCAAUUUUCUCAGGUUGACCUCGGAUCAGGUAGGGAUACCCGCUGAACUUAAGCAUAUCAAAAGCCCGGAGGAAAA
rnacentral:rRNA from 1 species